rnacentral:siRNA from 1 species
CAUGUUGUGGUUUCGGGCCUAGGA